UACGGAGGGGACUAGCGUUGUUCGGAAUUACUGGGCGUAAAGCGCACGUAGGCGGAUCUGUAAGUCAGGGGUGAAAUCCCGGGGCUCAACCUCGGAACUGCCUUUGAUACUGCAAAUCUCGAGUCCGGAAGAGGUGAGUGGAAUUCCUAGUGUAGAGGUGAAAUGCGUAGAUAUCAGGAGGAACACCGGUGGCGAAGGCGGAUCUCUGGGCCAUUACUGACGCUGAGGAGCGAAAGCGUGGGGAGCGAACAGG
rnacentral:rRNA from 1 species